UUUGAUGGCGACCGGCGCACGGGUGAGUAACACGUAUCCAACCUGCCGAUGACUCGGGGAUAGCCUUUCGAAAGAAAGAUUAAUACCCGAUGGCAUAGUUCUUCCGCAUGGUGGAACUAUUAAAGAAUUUCGGUCAUCGAUGGGGAUGCGUUCCAUUAGGUUGUUGGCGGGGUAACGGCCCACCAAGCCUUCGAUAGAUAGGGGUUCUGAGAGGAAGGUCCCCCCACAUUGGAACUGAGACACGGUCCAAACUCCUACGGGAGGCAGCAUG
rnacentral:rRNA from 1 species